UACGUAGGGUGCGAGCGUUGUCCGGAAUUACUGGGCGUAAAGAGCUUGUAGGUGGUUUGUCGCGUUGUUCGUGAAAACUCACAGCUCAACUGUGGGCGUGCGGGCGAUACGGGCAGACUAGAGUACUGCAGGGGAGACUGGAAUUCCUGGUGUAGCGGUGGAAUGCGCAGAUAUCAGGAGGAACACCGGUGGCGAAGGCGGGUCUCUGGGCAGUAACUGACGCUGAGGAGCGAAAGCGUGGGGAGCGAACAGG
rnacentral:rRNA from 1 species